rnacentral:tRNA from 1 species
GAGGUUGUAGCUCAGUGGUAGAGCAUUUGCCUAGCAUACACAAGGCUCUAGAUUCAAUUCCCAGUACUUCA